AACGAACGCUGGCGGCAUGCCUAACACAUGCAAGUCGAACGAGACCUUCGGGUCUAGUGGCGCACGGGUGCGUAACGCGUGGGAACCUGCCCUUAGGUUCGGAAUAACUCCCCGAAAGGGGUGCUAAUACCGGAUAAUGUCUUCGGACCAAAGAUUUAUCGCCUUUGGAUGGGCCCGCGUUGGAUUAGCUAGUUGGUAGGGUAAAAGCCUACCAAGGCGACGAUCCAUAGCUGGUCUGAGAGGAUGAUCAGCCACACUGGGACUGAGACACGGCCCAGACUCCUGGGGGGGGGAGAGGGGGGGAAUAUGGAAAAUGGGGGAAAACCCUGACCCGGCAGUGCCGGGGGGGGGAGAAGGGCUUGGGGUUGAAAAGGCUUUUUUCCCGGGAAUGAAAAGGACGGCCCGGGAGAAAAACGCCCGGCCAACCCCGG
rnacentral:rRNA from 1 species